UAGAACGACGGCGCACAAACAACCUGGAGGGGGAGAGAAAUGGUGCCCCUGCACCCAGAACCGGCUCCAAGCCACGCCGCCCGUUUGGGGGCAACUUUGCUGGGGAGGAUGGUCCUGUUGCUGUGGGUCCGGAACUUGGGAGUAACUCGAAUAGGAGGAUCUGGGUCCAGGUCUUUCACGAGGCUGCAGUCAGAUGCUGGUCAAUGUGGAAAUCCUCUGAAGGCUUGGUCGGAGCUGGAGAUCCAUUUCUAGGAUGGCUCGCUCGCAUCUAACAAGAGAGGAUCCAAAGUGACAGAUCCCAGGCAAGAGGUCAAAAAAGUCUGGAGGAUCGUGACAGCACCAUGUUUCACUCCCUCCAGUGGGUGGAUUUAACAACCUGCACUGGAGCUUCCUGACUCUCGUGCUGGGGAAUUUGAGGAGAAGGAGAAUCUAAGUGCACUAUGUAAUAGAAAGAUAAAGAACUCCAAGCCUGCCUGUUGUCCUUGGAUUAUUGCCCCUGGUAUUCACCUCUGGAAGGGCCAACCCUUUGUCUCCCUAUCCGCAUCAGCAAAAUCUUCCUGGAAUGUCAUUUGGGUUAUUUGAUCCAGUAGUAAAAUCCACGUUCUCUCCUGGCAAAUCAGCAAGUACUUAUUAAGCAUCUACUGUGUACCCAAGAGCAAAUCCUAGGAUCAUUUGAGACCAGUGUAGAUGGAUACGCCAAAAAUGGCCAGGCAUGACCAAAAUAGAUUGUUGUCAAACCCACCUGUCUUGAGGCUUCAAAGGCAAGAACUGAAAAGGACUUUUUUUUUUUUUUUUUUGAGCUAGCAUUUAGAGACGGUACUGCCCAAAGAAUGCUUUCAGACUGUUUUUCAUUUAGAAAAUUCCCAAGGACUUGAAACACAAAGAAAGAUCAA